UCGAUUUUCAUUUUCCAAACAAACAUAGUGGCUCUUUUUUUUGGUCCUUCGUAAUUCUUUCAUUUUCCAAACAAACAUAGUGGCUCUUUUUUUCGGUCCUUCAUAAUUCUUUCUCGCAAUAUUCCUCGCACACAAUAUUCACACCCAAUCGUUGCCAAAUCUUUCAUCCCAACUGGCGAUUCAUCCCAAUCAAACCGGCGAUUGCCGGCGUUCGAAGGAAGUUGGCGACGGAGAACCUGUACCCUAUCAAUCUCCCAAUCUUUGCCAAACCCUUCAUCUCAAUCAAACCGGCGAUUCAUCCCAAUUGAACCGGCGGUUGCAUCUGAAGAAGGUGGGCGACGAUUCAUCCCAAUCGAACGGGUGAUUGCAUCUGAAGAAGGUGGGCGACAGACAACCUGUAUCCAAUCGAUUCUCAAUCUUCGCCAAACCUUUCAUCCCAAUCAAACCGGCGGUUGCCGGCGACUGAAAGAGGUGGGUAACAGACAACCUAUAUCCAAUCGAUCUCUGGUGGGAUCUUCUUGUCGAUUUCUCUCCUAUUCUCUUCUUCUCUUCUAUUUGUAUUUGAGUACUUCCAAAUAAUUUCGAAGGUAUUCACAGGCAGCUUGAUAAUAACAACUUUGGUGGCUGUCCAAUACCGUGCUCAUAUGGAAACAUAUCUAACUUGAUGAUGUUGUAAGUGAAUGUAUUAUUCUCUUUGAGCAAUUUUUCAGUUUUUCAAACGCUUCCUUUUCUUUAAAUUUAAAAUUUUCUCACAAGUUUGAGAAUGAAUGUGCAGGAGUUGUAUUCUUAGAUAUAUAUGCAUAAUAAUUCUUUGUUAACAAUCUGCUUUAUUUGUAUGUAUUAGGAGUAUGAAGUACUGUAUUUUACAAAGUUCGAGUCAUGAUUGAAGGAAUAGUCCACAUAUUGCUUAUAUGUAAGUAAGUGGACAUUAAAAUAGUCUAAGUUAUUACUUUCGGCUCAAUAGUCCUUUAUCGAAGUUGUUUGGUGUGGUUUUUCUUUACCUAUACUUAUAAGUAUAAUCUAUAACAUGCUAUAUAAUAUAAAGGAAAAACAUUAAAAAAACAAAAGCGCUAAAUGUACUAAUUUCGAACACUCUACAACAAAUACGAAAAGCACUGCAAUUAGAAUUAUAGAGCACAAAGUAAGUAUAAUCUAUAACAUGCUAUAUAAUAUAAAGGAAAAACAUUGAAAAAACAAAAGCGCUAAAUAUACUAAUUUCGAACACUCUACAACAAAUACCACUACUAAAAAAAUGGCCAUUUGUAGCAAAAUCGCAUCCGUUACAAUUUUUUUGUUACAAAAGAUAUUUUUUGUUCCGGUUAUUACCGUAACAAAUUGUGUUUUCGAUUUGGUCAACCUUUUUCCUUUUGUUGCGGUAUUGUUUCGUUACAACUACAAAAUAAUUUUAUUUUAAAUUUCAAACUAAAUCUAAAAUAAUAUAUCAUAUUUAGAGAACAUAUAUAUCAUAUAUAAUACAUACAUAAUACUUAUACUUAUAUAUUAAUCUAUACAAAUUAAAAUAAUUAUUUAUUUAAAAAAUAAAAUUACUAUAUACAAUUAAAAAAUAUAAAUGAAAUAAAAUAUUCAACUUUACCAUUGCAUAACCCUAAUUGUCGCAGCCUCCCCCCUCAUUUUCCUCUGAUUUUUUUGAUCCUUUUCUUCUAUGUUCUUCUCUGCGUUCUUCUUCAUCUUGCGUCUUUGUCUUCGUCUUCUUCGUUCUUCUUCUUGCGUCUUCGUCUUCUUCUUCUUCGUCUUCCUACAUCACCUUCCUUGGCCGUCCACCGUGCUCCGCCGCACCCUUCAUCAACCCAUCGAUCGCGCUCCGCCGCUGCCCGCUGAUGUCCUCAAAUGCGAACCCUAAUUUUUCCUGUAGACAGGCUUUAGACAUUGUACAGAAGUUGGGAAGAUGACCCAGAUGUUGAGUUUGUAGUUUUGAAGAUUUUCUUUUUACCUCCCAACUCACUUGUAUUUUAUUUUCUUGUUUUCGCCUAACAUAUGGUUGGAAAAUUUUGAAAGGUAGAGAGACAAGACAUUUGUAGCUAGUGGUGAUAUUGUGUCCAUCUAUAAUAUGUUGAAAGAAGGAAAUCUAGAAACUUGCAAGCAUUUCUUCUGGAUAAUAUAUAGUUUUAUAUACUUUCUCGGUUAUACCAUUAAUAUAGUAAAGGUUUUUUUCACGGCUGCUACCGUUCCGGAGGCUGUGCUAAUUCACGAACGAUAUCUGAAGUGCAAACACUCUGUGAGUUUGUCCACGUCGAGCCAAUCGAAUGGAUAUUCAAGGAUCUCGUUCGUCACGUAACUUCCGUGUAUGUUCACUUUGACGCUGCAUGGGGCGAUGUAGCAUUUCAUGUAAUUUUAUGAUGAUAACUUUUGUUUGUGGAUUGAUACUGACUAAGUUCUUUACGUA